UACAGAGGGGGCAAGCGUUGUUCGGAAUUACUGGGCGUAAAGGGCUCGUAGGCGGCCAACUAAGUCAGACGUGAAAUCCCUCGGCUUAACCGGGGAACUGCGUCUGAUACUGGAUGGCUUGAGUUUGGGAGAGGGAUGCGGAAUUCCAGGUGUAGCGGUGAAAUGCGUAGAUAUCUGGAAGAACACCGGUGGCGAAGGCGGGUCUCUGGGCAGUAACUGACGCUGAGGAGCGAAAGCGUGGGGAGCGAACAGG
rnacentral:rRNA from 1 species